AGAAUGUGAAAUAGUAAGAGCUCUAACCGUGAGGCCGCAUCCAUGGGAACAUGAGGCUCGGAGAGGAGUUCUGACUUAAGUGGCCUUGUCCUUCUCCAGGGUUAGUGCUAUUGGACGAUUUACAGUCUGGGUAUUGCGCUAAGCUGGCCUCUUGCUGGGUACCAUAAAGCGGUUGCCUCGGAAGAGCUUCAUAUCCAUAAAAUUUCGUAGCGUCUCCAUGACAUGCCAAUGCACAAGGGUUCUGCUGAUAGCCGGGGUUGGAGAUACCUGUGGUUCCGUGAUGGAAAAAGUCCUGUACGUGAUGCGACGGGUGUUGAAAACCCGGCGCAGCUGCUCCAUGUCCGUAUACAAGCGUGUGGCUUCGGGCAACGCUCUGUGGAAACCUGCAGUCGUAAUGGUGGCAACCUAUUGUUGCAGUUCCAAAUGGCAUGCAACGCAGACAGAGCAACCGGAACUAGAUGGAGAAAUGCUGCCCCUUCGGACAAUCUGAGGCAGCUCCCACUUCAAAUCCACUCGCUUAGUCUCUCUCUCUCUUCCUAUCGCCAGCCUUUUCCUUUUGCAGCCUCAAAUCAUGGCGUGCACGGUGGAUGUGUGUUAAGGUUAAAGCUGGCUAGCUCCGACGGCUCAGUCACAAGCUCGUACUUUUUUUGCCUCCCACCAGCCACCCCCACUACAAUGAACCCCCCCCCCCAACCCCUUGUCCCCUACUACCCCACCCUUUGGCUCCUCAUCUUUCCAGAGCGUCCUUGAAGGGGGAAACGCAGUUGUCUGUUUUUAUUUUUAUUUUUAUUUUUAUUAUCAUUGAAUAACAUCGGCUGCACGUAUUAAAUGAAGCAAUCAUUUAAGUUUUUAAUGUCUGCUUUAGAACAUAACCGCAGGUUGCGGCGGCUUCAUAAUGGUCGUACUGGUCAUUUUAGACCUGCGGUCACGUUGAAACAAUUUGUCUGGUAAUUUCAUUUAUGAUAUAACUAGGUAUCAUUUUCUUUUAAAAGACCAUAUACGCUCCGGCCAUUACACAUCCAUUCUGAAGCGUUUAUAAGGUUGUGUAUCGAGCCAUAACCCACAGGGUCAACACUGGGCUAUUCAAGUUUACGAACAUUACGAAGAAACUGCUACAACGAUUGACACAGCAUACCAGCUAACUAAAAACAAAUUACAAUAAUAAUGCCAAUGGAAAAUAUGUAACAUUUUAAGCCUGUUAUUAAUUAAUAUUAUGAUUUAUUAUUGCUGCCGCCGCUGCUGCUGCUAUUAUUAAAGUUGUGACAAUUAA